rnacentral:rRNA from 1 species
GACGAACGCUGGCGGCGUGCUUAACACAUGCAAGUCGAACGGAAAGGCCCUGCUUGCAGGGUACUCGAGUGGCGAACGGGUGAGUAACACGUGGGUGAUCUGCCCUGCACUUCGGGAUAAGCCUGGGAAACUGGGUCUAAUACCGGAUAGGAGCCAUUUUUAGUGUGAUGGUUGGAAAGUUUUUUCGGUGUAGGAUGAGCUCGCGGCCUAUCAGCUUGUUGGUGGGGUAAUGGCCUACCAAGGCGGCGACGGGUAGCCGGCCUGAGAGGGUGGACGGCCACAUUGGGACUGGGAUACGGCCCAGACUCCUACGGGAGGCAGCAGUGGGGAAGAUUGAACAAUGGGCGCAAGCCUGAUGCAGCGACGCCGCGUGGGGGAUGACGGCCUUCGGGUUGUAAACUCCUUUCGCUAGGGACGAAGCUUUUUGUGACGGUACCUAGAUAAGAAGCACCGGCUAACUACGUG